GAUGAACGCUAGCGGCAGGCUUAACACAUGCAAGUCGAGGGGUAACAGGUCUAGCAAUAGAUGCUGACGACCGGCGCACGGGUGAGUAUCGCGUUUGCAAUCUACCUCUAACUGGGGGAUAGCCCGGAGAAAUUCGGAUUAAUACCUCAUAAUGAUAUAAGAAGGCAUCUUUUUAUAUUUAAAGCUCCGGCGGUUAGAGAUGAGCAUGCGUACCAUUAGCUAGUUGGUUGAGGUAACGGCUCACCAAGGCUACGAUGGUUAGGGGGUCUGAGAGGAUGAUCCCCCCCACUGGUACUGAGACACGGACCAGACUCCUACGGGAGGCAGCAGUGAGGAAUAUUGGGCAAUGGGCGCAAGCCUGACCCAGCCAUGCCGCGUGCAGGAUGAAGGCGCUAUGCGUUGUAAACUGCUUUUGUAAGGGAAUAAAAAAGCUUACGUGUAGGCUAUUGUAUGUACUUUACGAAUAAGGAUCGGCUAACUCCGUGCCAGCCGCCGCCGUAAUAC
rnacentral:rRNA from 1 species